rnacentral:tRNA from 1 species
GCCUCUGUAGCUCAGUAGGUAGAGCAGCGGACUGAAAAUCCGCGUGUCGUUGGUCCGAUUCCGACCGGAGGCA